rnacentral:rRNA from 1 species
UACGUAGGGGGCAAGCGUUGUCCGGAUUUAUUGGGCGUAAAGAGCGUGUAGGCGGCCAUACAGGUCAGCUGUGAAAACUCGAGGCUCAACCUCGAGACGUCGGUUGAAACCGUAUGGCUAGAGUCCGGAAGAGGAGAGUGGAAUUCCCGGUGAUAGCGGUGAAAUGCGCAGAUAUCGGGAAGAACACCCGUGGCGAAGGCGGCUCUCUGGGACGGUACUGACGCUGAGACGCGAAAGCGUGGGGAGCGAACAGG